rnacentral:rRNA from 1 species
AGCGAACGCUGGCGGCAGGCUUACACAUGCAAGUCGAGCGGGCAUCCUUGUGGUGUCAGCGGCAGACGGGUGAGUAACGCGUGGGAACGUGCCCUUCGGUUCGGAAUAACUCAGGGAAACUUGAGCUAAUACCGGAUACGCCCUUCUGGGGAAAGGCUUGCUGCCGAAGGAUCGGCCCGCGUCUGAUUAGCUGGUUGGUGAGGUUACGGCUCACCAAGGCGACGAUCAGUAGCUGGUCUGAGAGGAUGAUCAGCCACACUGGGACUGAGACACGGCCCAGACUCCUACGGGAGGCAGCAGUGGGGAAUAUUGGACAAUGGGGGCAACCCUGAUCCAGCCAUGCCGCGUGAGUGAUGACGGCCUUAGGGUUGUAAAGCUCUUUUCUCCGGGACGAUAAUGACGGUACCGGAGGAAUAAGCCCCGGCUAACUUCGUG